rnacentral:rRNA from 1 species
UACAGAGGUCUCAAGCGUUGUUCGGAUUCAUUGGGCGUAAAGGGUGCGUAGGCGGCGCGGUAAGUCGGGUGGGAAAUCUCGGAGCUUAACUCCGAAACUGCAUUCGAUACUGCCGUGCUUGAGGACUGGAGAGGAGACUGGAAUUUACGGUGUAGCGGUGAAAUGCGUAGAUAUCGUAAGGAAGACCAGUGGCGAAGGCGGGUCUCUGGACAGUUCCUGACGCUGAGGCACGAAGGCCAGGGGAGCAAACGGG